rnacentral:siRNA from 1 species
CAACAACGUCUUGACCAGCCU